rnacentral:rRNA from 1 species
GGUGAACGCUGGCGGCGUGCUUAAGACAUGCAAGUCGAACGGCAGUCUUCGGACUGUAGUGGCGCACGGGUGAGUAACGCGUAACUGACCCACCCCAAAGUCGCGGAUAACGAUUCGAAAGAAUCGCUAAUACGUGAUGUGCUGUCAGAUUGUGUUCUGCCAGUAAAGAUUGAUUGCUUUGGGAUGGGGUUGCGUUCCAUCAGCUAGUUGGUGGGGUAAAGGCCCACCAAGGCGACGACGGAUAGCCGGCCUGAGAGGGUGGCCGGCCACAGGGGCACUGAGACACGGGUCCCACUCCUACGGGAGGCAGCAGUUAGGAAUCUUCCACAAUGGGCGAAAGCCUGAUGGAGCGACGCCGCGUGAGGGAUGAAGGUCUUCGGAUCGUAAACCUCUGAAUCAGGGACGAAAGACACUUCGGUGGGAUGACGGUACCUGAGUAAUAGCACCGGCUAACUCCGUGCCAGCCGCCGCGGUAAUAC